rnacentral:rRNA from 1 species
AAUGAACGCUGGCGGCGUGCGUAACACAUGCAAGUCGAACGAGAAAGUCCGCUUCGGUGGAUGAGUAAAGUGGCGAACGGGUGAGUAACGCGUGGGUAACCUGCCCCUGAAUCUGGAAUAACUUCGCGAAAGCGAGGCUAAUACCGGAUAUUGUCCCAGGGACCGUGGUUCUUGUGAUGAAAGAUGACCUCUUCACGAAAGUUGUCGUUCAGAGAGGGGCCCGCGUACCAUUAGCUAGUUGGUGGGGUAAUGGCUCACCAAGGCGACGAUCCGUAGCUGGUCUGAGAGGAUGACCAGCCACACUGGGACUGAGACACGGCCCAGACUCCUACGGGUGGCAG